rnacentral:rRNA from 1 species
ACACGACUACAUUAGAUACCCCUGUAGUCCUAGCCGUAAACGAUACUCGCUAGGUGUCGGCCACGGUGCGACCGUUGUCGGUGCCGUAGGGAAGCCGUGAAGCGAGCCACCUGGGAAGUACGGCCGCAAGGCUGAAACUUAAAGGAAUUGGCGGGGGAGCACAACAACGGGUGGAGCUUGCGGUUUAAUUGGAUUCAACGCCGGAAAUCUUACCGGGACCGACAGCAACAUGAGGGCCAAGCUGAAGACUUUGCCGGAUUAGCUG